UACGGGAGGUGCGAGCGUUGUUCGGAAUGACUGGGCGUAAAGCGCACGUAGGCGGGUCUUUAAGUCGAAUGUGAAAGCCCCGGGCUUAACCUGGGAAUUGCACUCGAAACUGUAGAUCUUGAAUGCUUGAGAGGUUGAUGGAAUUCUUGGUGUAGGAGUGAAAUCCGUAGAUAUCAAGAGGAACACCGGAGGCGAAGGCGGUCAACUGGCGAUGCAUUGACGCUGAGGUGCGAAAGCGUGGGUAGCAAACAGG
rnacentral:rRNA from 1 species